rnacentral:rRNA from 1 species
AUACGGAGGGGGCUAGCGUUGUUCGGAAUUACUGGGCGUAAAGCGUACGUAGGCGGACUGAUAAGUUGGGGGUGAAAUCCCAGGGCUUAACCCUGGAACUGCCUUCAAUACUGUCAGUCUUGAGAUUGGAAGAGGUGAGUGGAAUUCCUAGUGUAGAGGUGAAAUUCAUAGAUAUUAGGAGGAACACCAGUGGCGAAGGCGGCUCACUGGUCCAAUACUGACGCUGAGGUACGAAAGCGUGGGGAGCAAACAGGAUUAGAAACCCUAGUAGUCC